CCCAUUUAGGAAAGAAUAAAAGUAAAUGAAGACACCCUGAACAAAACCACACUGCAAAACUUAGGAUCAAAUGAAGAUUGCUGUGCAGAUUCAGAGUUAAUACACGCCCAGCAAUUGAACAGCUCCUGACAUGUCUACUUAAGUGUUAGCUCUGAUUACUUUUCUGGUAAGGUGGGAAGACAGGUAAUAAAUAAAUAAGCAGGUGAUAUGAAAGAGCAAUGGAAAGACGUUAGAUUGAACACUUAAAGAAGUCCUCUGGUGAUGGGCUAACAUUUGAGCUGAGACCGGAAAGGUCUCUGAUGCCAUUAGUACAUAGCAAAGAGAAGAUAAACAGUGAAGGUUAAGAAGAUAAAUGUCUGUGACUUCCACAGCUUUACUGUUACUAGUGGAUUUGUGGCCAUCCGUGGUAGACAUAUUUUAAGAGAUCUGUCCAGACCACAUUCCCUUCUCUAAGAAUUGAUUCUCCAUUCACCAAUGGAAAGAGCCCAUUAGCCAUGUUUAUUAUCACAUGACCCAGCAACCUCAGCCUCAGCUGAUUGGACCAAGAAAGAACACCUGACCCAAACUGGGCUAAUCACACUUUGCCCCCAGGAGAAGUGCUAGUUAAUCUCUGUUGAUUGUACAAUCCAAGGACAGAUAGGCUUGGAAACUGUAGGUAGCCAUCUUCUGCCAAAUGCCUGUAGAAGCAAAGCACAUUGAUCUGCCACGAAGCACAGAUGAGUGAUCCACUGGU